UACGUAGGGUGCGAGCGUUAAUCGGAAUUACUGGGCGUAAAGCGUGCGCAGGCGGUCUGUUAAGACCGAUGUGAAAUCCCCCGGGCUUAAACCUGGGAACUGCAUUGGUGACUGGCAGGCUUUGAGUGUGGCAGAGGGAGGUAGAAUUCCGCGUGUAGCAGUGAAAUCGUAGAGAUGCGGAGGAACACCGAUGGCGAAGGCAGCCCCCCUGGGCC
rnacentral:rRNA from 1 species